CGGCAGCGCUAAGGUGGGCACUCGACAGGCACUCGGCAGGCGCUCUGCGGGCACUCAGGUUGGCACUCGGCGGGCGCUCAGGCAGGCACUCGGCAGGCGCUCAGGUGGGUACUCGGCGGGCGCUCAGGGCGGGCACUCGGAGGGGGCUCAGGUGGGCACUCGGCGGGCACUUGGCAGGCGCUCAAGUGGGCACUCGGCGGGCGCUCAAGUGGGCACUCGGUGGGCGCUUAGGUGGGUACUUGGUGGGCACUCAGGCGGGCACUCAGCGGGGGCUCAGGUGGGCACUUGGCAGGCGCUCAGGUGGGCACUUGGUGGGCACUUGGCAGGUGCUCAGGUGGGCACUCGGCGGGCGCUCAGGCAGGCACUCCGGUGGGCACUCCAUGGGCACUUAAAAGGGCGCUCCGCAGACACUCAGGUGGGCGCUCCGCGGGCACUCAGGCGGGCACUUGGCGGGCACUCAGGCGGGCACUCGGCUGGCGCUCAGGUGGGUACUCAGGCGGGCACUGGGUAGGUACUCAGGUGGGCACUCAGUGGGCGCUCAGGUGGGUACUCGGUGGCGCUCAGGUGGGU
rnacentral:lncRNA from 1 species